GACUUCUUAGCUCAGUGGUAGAGCGUGUGAUUCCAGUUUCCAGUCAAAAACUCGGAGAUGGUGGUUCCACAAGGUCAUCCGUUCAAUCCGGGUAGAGGUCA